UUUCAUUUCUCCUGGAGCUUGGCAGGAAAGCCAGCGAGGUCCUUUGGCUGAAGGGUGAGCUAAGAUGCGCUGAGGUUCAGCCUCUAAGCCCAAGUCCUAGAGAACAUUAGUGGAGAAACUGAAGGAGUUACUUUUAAAUAAAUCAGCUGUAGGAAGUUACAAAUGUAGAGACCCGACAAGGGGAAGUGUUAACCGAUGCUGUUCCACGGUAAAGAUCUCUUCCAGAUUGCCUAAAGAGACAGUGUUGGCAUGACUCGGACAAGUCUCUGACACCCUCUAAGGCUAAUUUCCUGUCCUGGGAGGCCAGGGGUAGGAAUAAUUCUCCGGGGUGCAAUCUAAGAAGAAAAGACAAGCAUCAGUGUUUUAAAGGAGCUCCAUUAUCAUACACAAGCUAGCUGCAUCCUGGGAAGACUUUGCUGGCCUGAGGACUUUUAAAACUGGUCUGCACCAUAACUUGAAGUAAUUGUUCUUGUGAUUGAAGCUAACAACUAUAUAAUGCCUGCUAGGCAUAAUGCCAAGACAUGAUUUGAUUUCAGGCUAAGUUAUUUUCCAGGAAGUUUCUUGAACCUUAAUGAAGACAGGCUCCUGGACAGUUUACCCACCAAGAUAUGUCUGGAUUAUUUGGUGAACACAAAGUCAACUGAGAAAGCUCUGCCCCUACCACAGCAGGAAAGCUGUUUCAAUGACCUCAAGUUUUAAAUGUCAGAUGGUGAAAGUCGAAGACUUUCAAAGACUGGACCAUGAUCCAGUGAGGGGUUCCCCCCCACUUCCCUUUUCUGCCACAAAGAAUGGAAGUUUGUAUAAGAAGUGCAUCAUUCUCUAAACCAAACAGCAAAAAGAGAAACAAAAUGCAGAAGAAAAGAGGUUGACAUCUUGGACAGGAAGGAAAUCUUCCCUGUACUCCCAUUCAAGACAGACUCCCAGAUGAGAACUAAAUAAACAUGGUAGACAAGGAGGCCAGGAAGAUCUGACUCUCUCCAGAAGCAGCAUUGCCACCUUGUUGCCACUGUGAACUAGAAUUGCCAUCAUGCUCACAGAAUCUUAUUCUUUUUUUUAAUUUUUUUUAAAGAUUUUAUUUAUUUAUUUGAGAGAGAGAAUGAGAUAGAGAGAGAGCAUGAGAGGGGGGAGGGUCCGAGGGAGAAGCAGACUCCCUAACUCCCAGGGAGUCCGAUGCGGGACUCGAUCCUGGGACUCCAGGAUCAUGACUUGAGCCAAAGGCAGUCGCUUAACCGACUGAGCCACUCAGGCGCCCCACAGAAUCUUAUUCUUGAAAGACAAGUCACACUUUUUGCUCUCAGGGCAGAGCCACAUCCGCAGCCUCUUUCUUGCUUCCUUCGCCCUCUCUCCUUGCUUUGAGCUCACUAAUUCUCUGUUUCAGUGGGGGCUUCCAAGAGAAAUGGAGUGAAUCAUUCAGCAAGGGGAAAACAUCAGCCAUCUAGAACCUUCCACAUUGAUUUAGAAUCCACUUUAAUAUGGUUUAAGCCACGAAUAAACAAUAAACAAGGGAUGGGACACUAAGGGAGGAGAAAAGUGGUUCAUCUAAUGAGGCCCUGGGAAGCAAACUGGAAUCUAUUACUCUGGGCCAGGCCCUGAGGAAAAUAUAAAAAAAAAAAUGUAAAGCAAGUUUUUGGUCCCUAGGAGCUGAGAGUCUAGUUGGGGAGAAAAGGCAUACUCAUCGUUUAUGAGACACGAUGAGAAAAUUUAUAGCUGCUACCAGAGCAUCACUUCUAUUCCAUCUACAGAAUAUGGAGCCCUCUUUUCUGACUCCCAAGGGACCUGGAAAUCCAUACACAGCCUCUCUCACUGUCCAGAGAGUAUACUGUUGGCAGAAGCAUACCUGGCCUGGGUGAGGGGAGCCAGAAUUGGGCUUAUCUCUUAUGGAUCCUGCAUCUGGCAGCCUGAGUCACUGCAGUGAACUCUCUUCCUGGUCAAUUUGCAGCCACUUCCAGUACCACAAGUGUCCUCCAAUGCUUGGACAUGAUGGGUCCAGAUUCUUGGUCUCAGAGUUCUGACCUCUCUACCUUCUCUGCUCUCCCGACAGUUUCCUUCCCAGGGUCUGGAAAUGUCUUCUCAGAUUUCUUUAAAACACACAGUUUACGACAUCCAUGUUCCUGGAAAAAUGGAACCAUCUUCCUAUUCUCCUAAGGAUGCCUACUUUGAUGAUGAUUACUAUCUUAAAGACAACCUGGUGACAUUCUAUCACAUCUUUUGUUAAAGGGCAGAAAGACACACACACACAAAAUGAAAAUGUAAGAAUGGUCAAUGAUCAAGUAAGCCAAGAAUAGGAGCGAAUGAGAUACAUUUUCAUAUACUUUAUUCUAUUUAAUUUUCAUGAGAAAACCCACCAAGUACCUGUUACUCUUCCUCUUUUAUUGAGCAGAAGGCAUAGGGUCACAAGAGUUAAACAAAUUGCUCAAAGCUAUACAUGUAAUGGAGCCCAUAGGGCAUAUAUUUUCUGUUGCCCAGGACACUGUCCCUUCUACUGUACCACAGCUGCUCCUAGGUCAAGAGAGGAAGCACUUCCUAUGGGUUAGAAUGUCCUAAGGGCAGGUAUCUGAACUGGCUCUCGGCUGAAUUAUAAGCUCUGGGUAGACAGUGGAAGAAGGCAAGGCUGUUCCGGGUCUUGGAAGGAUUAGCAUGACUGAAACCACAGUGUGAAAAAGUGGAAGGUGUAUUUGGAAGGCUGUGUGUAGACUGUUUUGGCUGAAGAGGAGGGCUCAUUCACACAAUGAAAUGGCACCCAGCCAAAGAGAGGGGAACGAUGAAGACUGCUCUGCCAUUGUUGUGAUUCGGGAGUUUCAGGCACCUCUGUUAAAUGAGGAUAAACAGGGCUGACCUUCCCUUACAGGCAGUCUGGGAUUCUGAAUCGUCAGUGACUGGGAAGUGGCAUGCUCCAUUACCUAAGGCAUGGUAUUAUAUCCACUAGCUAUUUUGUGCAGUUGAAUUUUUGUUCCAUAGAAACGAUUCUCUCAGUGUGAGCUCAAUAGUAACGGGCAUGAUGGUGGUUCUUCUAUGUUGCCAGAAACUAGGUCUGAAUUUCUUCCAGCGCCUCCUGCUCUAAAGCACCUCUUAUGAUUAAUUAACCUUUUGUGGAGUAACUAGGACAUCUGUGUGGGAUGAGAUGUACUUUGGUCAGACUUCAGUUUUCAGUUGUUCAGCAAGAGGAUAAUUAAUUAUAAGAGCUGAAUCUGAACAGAAGACUUUGGAGGAAAUCCAAAUGAAGCAAAACAUCUAAUUAUCAAUGAGCAGGAAGUAUUUUUUUUAUUGUUGUUGUUGUGGGAGUGAAAGAAAUAAUAUAAAUAAGAGGUAGUAGCAACUUAAGAUGCCUGCUUAGAGUGUACACAUAAUUCGAAAAUGUGAGAUAUUUGUGUUUUUGGAGAUAAAGUACAAUGAACUAGCCAUAACUAGACAAAUACGAAACAGGGGCCAAGUUCAUGUCCGAAAUAAGUAUGUAUUCCCCUUGGAGAUAAUUGUGUUGACUUUAACAAGGAUAUAUCUAGAAUCACCCGGCUGUUAUUGCUACUGACAAAUAACCAUAAACAUCUCUUUUCUAGAGAAGAGUGUUGGAUUAAGAUAAAAGUAAGAUAAAAUGCAGGAUGCUAAAAACAGUGCAAAAUCCAUCUCUUUAACAGAAAUGGUCACUGUGAUAGAGAUGGUUUUCCAGAGCUUAACUUUCUGAGGUGAAUCACCUGCAGUAUUUAGCCCACAUCUACAUGACACAAUCUCUCACAAAACCCACAAUCCCCACAGAGCCAGGGAUUCUAGGUUGACUUACUGAACUAUGGUGAGGGGUACCUUAUUGGACCAUGUGAGAAAUUUCCAUUCUCAAACAAAAUGAUCCUCAAAGUUGGUUGUUGCCUACAUUCACUGGUAACGUCUAUACAAAUACUGCAUGAUUCUACUUCGAUGAGGGAAUAUGAUUCUGUUCAUAUUUAUAAAUAUCACAAGGCUUCCAGUCCAUGAAGAUGCUAUAUCCUUUCUUACUUAUUUCUCCUGUUGCUAUGAAAUAGUUUUCAUUCCUCUUUUCUUUCUACCUGUGGCUUCUGCUGCCUCAUGUUAGUACUUAGUGUCCAUGCUUUGUGCAUCUCUCAGUUUCUACAAUUUUCUAUUGUAUGUUGUUAUUGGGAGACAAUUCUCCAUGGUCUCUUGCAUUUCUGCAUUCGGCUAUUCGGUAUAGUCAUGUCUCUUUCCGGGACAAAGGUAGGCCAGUUUCAUUAGUAACCCAGUAUAAAAGACUUAAGUUUCCCAAGUCUGAUUUCCUCAGCUGUGACGCAAACCUACUGCAUCAUGUGGCUGCUCUGUGUCACCCUUUUGGGACUCAAAGGGGUGGGAUGGACAGGAGAACCAGGGCAGACAUGAAGCUCAUGUGCUUGCUGUGCUGUGGGUAAUAAGUCUUUGUCUCUGACUCAGGGGUUUCGUGUCUUCUGCCAUAUCUGCAAAAGUGUACCAGGCUAAAUUGUUAGCUUGCAAGGAAGGUCAUAUUUCUUUACACUUCUUGACAUCUGGGUCUUACAUCCAUACUCCCUGUGAAGAUCUGACUGGGUCAGUUAGUCACCAUCUACUAUAGGGAAUGCCUGUCACACUGAGCUGUUAUGCUAGACCUUCUUAUAGGACAGUCAAUAGAUUGCAGCUUUUGGAUCAGGUUUGAACUCUUGUUCAAACAGCCAUCUGUGGCCAACUUUUCAAGGUCACUUUGUUCAAAUAUUGAGGCCUGUGAAUGAGGGACAGGAUCUCAUGAAGAGGGGGCCAUGAGCUUGACAAACCCUUUAAGGUUCUCAGAAGCAGACAUUAUAACUUUCACGUUUCACAGACUGCCUAGGGAAAUUUUAUUGAGAAAUAGUUAAUUCACCUCAACUCUCCUGCAUAUUCUGAGAUUUUUGUGAGCAGAGAUUAGUGUAUGACUUAUCUGCAAUGUACCGGUUCUCUGCCUAAAGAGGAAGCAUUUGGCAAAUCUUGUGUCCCGAAUACUGGCAACUGGAGAUGAAUGCUCAGGUUCACUUUAGAGGUUCUCUCUUAGCGUGUAUUUCCACUCUUGGGAGAGUGGCUGUGUGGUUGGCUGGUAUUCCUUCCACUGCCAGGUUUAGGCAUGGAUCCUGAUUGGCCUAAAUCAAUCAGCCUUUUGUCUAUUGUGAUUGAUUCAGAGGAGGGCCUAUGACUUUAGAGCAUUGCUUGGAAAGCUCUCUGUCUUUUUAUGGAGGACCUGGUAUGGAAAUGUGAACCUGAAACUCUAGUUUUCAUUUUGUCAGAGUUCUCCAGAGAAACAUUACCAAUAGGAGAUGUAUAUAGCUAUAUAAUAAUGUUACUAUAAAACAUAUAAUAUAUACAGAGAAUAUAUGUAUGUAAAAUCUAUGCAUAAUUAAUUAAUUAAUUAAUAGGAAUUGGCUCAUGAGAUUUUUGGAGGCUGAGAAGUCGCCAAGCUAUAGACCCAGAAAAGCUGAUGAUGUAAUUCAGUCUAAGCCCAAAGGCCUGAGAACUGAGAACCACAGAGGAGCCAAUGGUACCACAGGGCAGGAGAAGAUGAGAUGAAAUAUCCCACCUCAAGUAAUGAGGUAGAAAGAAAGAGUUAAAUUUCUCCUUCCUUGGCCUAUUGCUCUAUUCAGACCCUCAGUGGAUUGGUUGAUGCCCACACAUGUAGGAGAGGGAAAUCUGCUUUAUCAAGUCCACUGAUUCAAAUGCUAAAUCUUAAUGAGGGACAGGCCUCCUCACAGACACACUCAGGAAUAAUGUUUCAUCUGGGCACUCUGUGGCCAGUUAGGCUGACACAUAAAAUUAAACAUCAUGUCACCACGCUUGAAAAUAAAGUAGACACUUGGAGGAAGGAAGGGUCAAGAGAAUAGCUAAAGUUGGAGUCAGAGCCCUAAUGAAACUAUCCCCAAAAUCCAUAUAAUUUCUGAGCUUUUCAUUUAUGUGAGCCAAUAAAUUAAUUUUAUUGUUAAUGGGAGUAUGAAUUGGGUUUUCUAUUACUUACAACAAAAACAUCCUAAGCAAUUCAUUUAUUAGUUUUCAUCACAGGUGAGGUGCAGAUGUGUAGACUUCUUUCUAAAGUUGGGACAGUGCACAUUAGUUCUGGACACAUCAGAUACAAGUCUUGUGUGUGUAAUUCACUGGUCUUUUCCCAGUGCCUGGCCCAUGGUACAUGCUCAUAAAUAUUUGUGGGAGGAAUCCAUGAACACUGCUUAUUGCUCUCCGGAACUUAUCUGUUAUUUCCUGACUCUGGUCACACCUCCUUGAUUGCUUUGAUUGGGCUUUUGCUGCAGAAUUUGGAGGAUGAAUUUGGUCACUAAAGAGUUAAAUAAAAAGAUUUAAAAAAAAAUCACAGUGUCUCCACGAACAAAGGCGACCAAUGUCAUCUUGGUUCCACAUUCUUCAGGGAUGGGUUUCCACAUUGGUGAUUCAGCAGACCAGGCGAUACUACUUAAUCAGAAGUUAUAAUUUUGGUUUGAACUGUUCAGAGAGGUCCAUUAUAAUCUACAGCUUACAUCUUGUGGUAAAAAGGGCAGACUAACUUGUUUUGCCGAAGUACAGCGUUAUUUUCUUCAGAAAAUAAUCGGACUCGGAGCUAUGCUUUAGAUCUCAACACUGCCCCUUUAUGUGCAAGACAGUAUCACUUUUCUCACUGAAAACUGCCAAAUAAAAAAAGAUGAAGGCAGAGUUGGUCUUACCCACCCCAUGUGUAGGUAUCAUUUCCAUCUGCUAUAAGGGGAAGUGCCAACAAGGAUCACACCCAAAGUGGACAGCCUUACUAACUAUGGCUGAACCAUGUUAAAGUGAUGAAGAACCCUGAUGGGACCUCAGGUUCAUAUCCCCAGCCUGCCAAGCCACAUGCUUGCUGAUAUCAGGAUUUUCUAGUGGAUGUGGAAAACAGUUGAAGUCAAAAUAUCUGGGUCAGCAUAACUUAAUGUGCACUAACUGUCAAAAAUCUAACCUGAACAGCCUUCCCUAAUGUUCAGAGUGUUCUCUUCCUCUCUUUCAUAUGAUUUGUCAUACCCAAAGAAUGGGAGAAUUUCUUGGAAUGUGUCCUGACUAUGGACAGCAUGUCCAAAAUGCAACAAGUAGGCAGUAGGGUAAUUAUGUGAUGACCGGCACUUUUGGGAAUAAGACAGAAAGACUUCUCCCCAAAGGUGCAUCAUUUAUGCCACUAAACCCACACAUACACCCUGAAAUGUCUUCCUGGAUUCGCAAAGGUAGUUUAAAAAGAAACCCAGACCAAGGCAUUAUCUUAGAGGUAGACCUAAAUCCAAGACUCUAUGUCAUUGUGGAAAGCAAAGUGCCUGCUGGAGUUUCAGAGACAAAGGGCUCCUUGUCCUCGUCAAACUUGAAUUCAAAGAAAUCCAUUUGUCAGCUAAAUUCUCCAUAGUUUCUCUGAUUGGGUUGCACUUAAGUCUUAUUUCAUGAAUGCAGCCUUAGGCACACUUAUUUUCUUAAAGUCCAGGCUCCCUCCAUUUAUUUCCUUUAGUAUUUAGAAGUCUAAAAUACCAUCAUACCAUUGCCACUUUCCCUAAGCAGCUUGACAGGUUUAGAUUGCCAACUGACUUUCCUUUUGGAUCAGCAAAAAAAAAAAAAAAAAAAAAAAAAAAAAAAUACCUGCUAACCAUUUCCCCAUGGUAUCCUUCCCAGCAGUAAAAUUCUCAGCAAGGCUACUUAACUAUUUCUUAUGUGCUCAUCUUUUUUUCCAUAAUGAGACUGACAACAGAUGCCCGUAUAAUGGAGCUCUCCAUUGACUACCUUAGAUCUGAGUUUUGUGGCUGAGCUUUCUGUAAUCUGCUUCAGGAAAGCAUUUUCAAAACCCUCUAUCUGUGUGGAUGGUCUGCUUCUCCUCUUGUCAUGCAAAUCCUCUUCACUAGGCUUCUACCUUCAUGUGUGUGCUUUUCUGUCUGGGAGUAUAGCCUCUCUUAUUACAGCACUUGAUUAUACUUAAACUUUGCUCUAUUAUUCUCUUCUCUAGUGUUUGAUUUCAGCCAGCUGAUUCCAAGAAUAGGAACCAUAUCUCCUAAUUCUUCGUAUGCCUCUAACUACCACUUAUCACAUUGACGAUGGCUAGUAAAGAUGCCUCCCUGGUAACAUCAGUUGCCUGGUCUAAGCUUCAUUUGCAGUAGUUUGCUCUCCCAUAAAAACUUCCUUCAAAUUUAUUUUUUAUAAUUAAUAUUUGAAAGGUUUAUAAGCCAUUCUUAGGCCUCUUAUAAGCUCAUUUCACCCUGUUGCAGGUAUGUGGAAACUGGAUUUGACUGGAAAGGAAUCUUAGAUGAAUGGACUGCAGCUGGAUACAUUCCUUAUAUUUAACUCAGCAUCUCGUUUGUGGUUUUCUCAUUACUACUUUUAACUGGUUUAUUAAAUGUGCUAAACUUGGUAGAGUUUAACAAAGAGACAACAUUUAUUUUUUUGCCAUGACUGUCCUUAAUUGUAUUUGGUCAGAUUUCCCUUCUUGGCCUCCUUGGUGACAACUUGGGCUGAUCUUACUGCUUUUCAGUCAAAGUUUUAACCAAUAGGCUCAUCUUCAAGUAUUAAAUAGCACAGCCCAAUCUAAUAUAAAAACUUCAGUCCCUCAUCUAAUUGAAGCUCCUUCCCCAACACUCCCUGUCAGCACCCUCCACUCCCUAUCCCCACCUCAUUGCUCAGAGAAUAUAUGAUCCCUCAGUGCAGUAGAUGGGCAGUAAGGCAUGACUGGGUCUCCCUCUUAUUCUCUACUUUUCUCCUUCAUUCUCAAUCUCCACUCAGAAGGCUGUUGCUUCUGGACUCUUACAGAGUUCGGGUGCUAAGUAGGGAGGAGAGAUAGAUGGUGACAAUUUCCAACUUAGCUGCUACUGGUAUAAUUGGUGUCAUUGUUCUCUGUGUGGCAGAUGACCCAAUACUGGGUUUCACCCAGGAAUGUUUGUGGGAUCUUUGUCCUGCAUGGGGAAUGUAUUCUUUGGCUGACCUCUUAUGACAUCCUCUCAAUCCUUUGCUCUGGCUCUAUACCCUACCAAGCUUUCUUUUGUUGGGUCUCCAGUGCCCUGUAGGCAGAGUCCUGUGAAGAUGGUGCCAUUCUGGCUCCCCUCUGUGGUAUUCACAUGGUCCAGGAUAUCUUUAUCUUGCUGCCGGCUGGUCAAAGUGCAACUUGCUUCUCAGUUUGCUUAUUCUCCAGGGAUAGAUGCUUUCUUGAAGGAUAGUUUAAGUUCUCUCAAAAACCCUUUUUUUGUCCCAUUCCCUAAGAUCAUCCAGCCAUGGACUAAGAUGUCUGUCUUCUGUAUGCAAGUGGUUGUGUUGAAGCCCCUUCUGGUAAGCAGGGUGUUUUGUGUGGCAGGGGGUAGGGGGAGAGGCAAAGCACCCCUAUUUCCUUUUCCAUGGGAGAGGGAUGGGAAAAUCCACUUCCACGAAGUUCUAUAAAAAAUCUCUCUCUUUUUGGUGCCUGGGUGGCUCAUUUGGUUGAGCAUCUGAUUCUUGGUUUCUGCUCAAGUCAUGAUCUCAGGGUUGUGGGGUUGAGCCCCAUGUUGGGCUCCAUGCUCA